rnacentral:rRNA from 1 species
GGAAGUGGGAUGAUGUCAAGUCAGCAUGGCCUUUAUAUCCUGGGCUACACACACGCUACAAUGGCCAACACAAUAGGUUGCUAAGCCGCGAGGUGGCGCCAAUCCAUAAAGUUGGUCUCAGUUCAGAUUGUAGGCUGCAACCCGCCUGCAUGAAGAUGGAGUUGCUAGUAACCGCAGGUCAGCUAUACUGCGGUGAAUACGUUCCCGGGCUU